UUCCGACUGUUGGAAGAGCUGG
rnacentral:misc_RNA from 1 species